rnacentral:rRNA from 1 species
UGGGGAAUAUUGGACAAUGGGCGCAAGCCUGAUCCAGCCAUGCCGCGUGAGUGAUGAAGGCCUUAGGGUUGUAAAGCUCUUUUAGCAGGGAAGAUAAUGACGGUACCUGCAGAAAAAGCCCCGGCUAACUUCGUGCCAGCAGCCGCGGUAAUACGAAGGGGGCUAGCGUUGCUCGGAAUUACUGGGCGUAAAGCGCACGUAGGCGGACUCUUAAGUCGGUGGUGAAAUCCUGGAGCUCAACUCCAGAACUGCCUUCGAUACUGGGAGUCUUGAGUUCGGGAGAGNUGAGUUGAACUGCGAGUGUAGAGGUGAAAUUCGUAGAUAUUCGCAAGAACACCAGUGGCGAAGGCGGCUCACUGGCCCGAUACUGACGCUGAGGUGCGAAAGCGUGGGGAGCAAACA